rnacentral:tRNA from 1 species
AUAAAUAAAACUAAAUAUUAGUAUUUAAUUUCGACUUAAAUUUAUGAUUUUAAUUAAUCUAUUUAUA